rnacentral:rRNA from 1 species
UACGGAGGGGGCUAGCGUUGUUCGGAAUUACUGGGCAUAAAGGGCGCGUAGGCGGCGUCGUAAGUCAGGCGUGAAAGGCCCGGGCUCAACUCGGGAACUGCGCUUGAUACUGCGGCGCUCGAGUCCGGGAGAGGAUGGCGGAAUUCCAAGUGUAGAGGUGAAAUUCGUAGAUAUUGGGAAGAACACCGGUGGCGAAGGCGGCCAUCUGGUCCGGUACUGACGCUAAUGCGAGAAAGCGUGGGGAGCAAACAGG